UUUCUAAAGAAAAAAAAAUUAGGAGAAAACUCAACCCUGAUGUCAUUACGGAAAGAACAAUUUUCAUUUCUGAAUUGUUGCAAAAAUCCAAACUGAACCAUAAUGCAAAACGAGGAGCAGAAAGCAACAAAUCUCAGUAAUUUUCCUUUCUCUUUUUUGUAGUAAAUUGGUCACUUAGUAAUCUGCGAGUAUACAGACAUUCAUCACUAACAAUCAUUCCUAUUGCUGCCACUGUAUAUUUGCAUAAUAAAGACAAAUUGUUGAUAACUCAAAUUAAUUGUAAUGUGAGCUACUCUUACACCUUGUAUUAGGCACAUAAAAGGCACUCAAAUGCUGGUUAGAAAAAAAAAGAGCUUCAUACUCUUGGUAGGACUACCACAGAAUUAGUUUGCUUGUGUUCUCGGUUAGCAAGAACCUGAUGGUUUUUAUCACAUUGUUGAAAUAUUUCCAAGAAAAUACCCAUCUUCCAAAUGUGGUUGAAGAGGUCUCCACUCCACACAAUGUAAACUGUGUAUAGUAGAUUAUGCUGACAGAAUCCAUCUAGUCCUGCUAAGCCACGCUCCAUGCCAUACAUAGGUUUCCUGAAUCCCUACAACCUAGAGGCUCAAAUCCCAGUGGUGUCAGUUCAGCUUUUUAUUCUUCAAAGGUAGACACAUUUAAGUAACAAGCAAUUUGCCCUCUCGCAGAGUUCUAAAUGAUGGCAAAAAUGAGUGUCCUGUCAGCACCUUAUGGUCAGAAAAGACCUGGCUUUGAACACUGUCUGUACAGCAAUUACAAGGGCCUGGAUCAAACGUCAGGUAACACGGCCUUCCCUAUCAUGAUGGCAUAACAACUACCUAGCAACACAGGUUAUUUCAUCUGCUACUCACCUAGUCAUGAAGGUCAAGGAUAGGAAAUACCAUUCCCCAUUUUCUGAACUAACCAAAGCUUCCAACAAUGAUUUUCUAAUAUAUGAAUUAUUAUUUAGUGGAAACAAAUAAAGCUGAGUAUUUUUAAUUAAAUCAACACUGCAGAGACACUGAAGACAUGCAUUACAAUGUCAAGUUUCCAUCCCUCGAGCAGACUUGCCAGGAUUAAGAGAGCACUUGAAUACAAAUAUAGGUAGGGAAUUAUAAGACAGGAGGCUCUUACUAAGACUCUGGCUAUCAGGAUGCCCGGGUGGCUCAGUGGUUGAGCGUUUGCCUUUGGCUUGGGGCCUGAUCCCAGAGUUCUGGGAUCGAGUCCCACAUCGGGCUCCCUGCAUGGAUCCUGCUUUUCCCUCUGCCUGUGUCUCUGCCUCUCUUUCUCUCUGCGUCUCUCAUGAAUAAAUAAGUAAAUAAAAUCUUAAAAAAAAAAAAAAAGACUCUGGCUAUCAAGACACAUGGGGUGAAUUUUAAAUUCUUAAAAUGGAUGAUGAACCUAAAUAUGCCUCAGAAGAAUAGAUUUGGGGGCAUUUCUGAGACAGUCUCCCAUGAUAGCCAACUGAGUGCAUAAUGACCUGUGGUUGAGAUUGUCUUAAGAGAAGAAAAGUCAUGUAUCCUAAAGGCUAAGAUCAAGUUGCUGCUAUCUGUUGUUUAUAAAGGUAGGAGAGAGCCACUCAACAACUGCAACCACUCUAUGCUAUUAAACAUUGAGCAUCUUUCACAUUCAGUCAUAAGAAUAGCUGCUAUAUAGGAAGUCCCUUUGUCUAGUCUAGCUCAAGAGUUUUGGUGUUAAGAUUUCACAUAGGGGGGCACAUGUUACCUAAGUGCUACAACCAACAUGGCGGCUCAAAUGUAAGCACUGGUGUAAUUCACUGAAGUUUCAACAGACCCCAGCCACUUUCAGUCAUCACAUAAAUAAUGGAGAAGAAUUAAAUUUUCUUAUAAUUCUCCCAUCAGUAAAAGCUCACACUUCCUUCUUAACCUCCCAUUCAUUUCCCACCGCUGAAAAUCCAAGUAAUUAUCAAGAGAUGAUCUGCCAGAGGAUCAACAUAGACAACACCUGACCUAUCAGAACAAACAGGUAAAAAGUUGUGUUCUGACUGUGACACUAGAUUAGUAUCAAUCCUUAGAUAGCAGUGGUUCAUGAACUUUAUGUGCUUUGGAAUCAUCUGGUGGGCCUAUUAAAACACUGAUUGCUGCCUCUCUCCAUCGUUGAUUCAGUAGGUCUGGGGUGGGGCCUGAGACUACCUCUCUAACAAAUUCCCAGGUGAUGUCAGCCUGCUGGCUCAGGGACCAAACUUUGAGAAUCACUGUUACACUAGAGGAUUCCAUUCACAAAUAACCUAAAAGAACAGCCUCUUCAAAUAUGGAGUUAAUAAAACAGUGGAGGAAGGAGACAUCUAGGUCAUGCAGAAUUCGUGCUGGCAGGAGCCAAGUGCAAAUAACUUGGCUGAAUAAUCCCUGCUCCUUUUAUGACCAGAGACAUGCUUUGUGUGCAGCAGGGGCUUAAAGAAGGCUUGUCUUUUCUGUCACUGCCAGGGGCUAUGUUACAGCUAAUCACCAGUGCUGCUGCCUACACCUGGUGGGAAUAUCUACUCAUUCAAUCAACACUGCACCCACCAUGUGCCAGGCUCUAUUAUAAAUCAAGCAGCCCUUGCCAGCUCAGGGUGGCUGGGUCGAAAUUGUUGAAAUAUGAAAUCCAGUCUGAUAGCCCUCCUUAACUAAGUCACAUGGGUUUGAGGGAUCCUCACAGGCCCUCCACACCUGGGGCCAACACUCAGAUGCAGGUUAAGCACACAUUUUAGCCCUUGGAGAAUUGCAAAUCAGAUAACCUGCAUAACAGGAAAAAAAAAAAAAAAGAUCUUUGCUUGCAGUUUUUGGAAAAAUCUAUUCCAAUGCUAGGACUCAUUUGUCUUUUUUUCAUUUCUCAAAGCAGUACCUUAUUUUUCCAAGAAACAGUCUUGGGCCCAAUUUCUAUCUUAUAAUUUUCUGAUUAUUUUUUUGACUGAGAUUCUCUUAGCUUUCACCAGAUCAGAACUAUGUGCUUAAUUCCACGUGACAAAAUGUGGUAUAAAAAUGUUUAGAGACUAUAGUGACUGAUAUUUACACUUAAGGGAGGGAUUUUCCCCCAGACCCCCAGAUAUCCAUUCUUUUUUUAUCACAGUACUGCCACAAGUGCAGAACUAUUCUAAGUAUUAAAUGUUGAACUACUUAUACUAAUUAUGAAGACCAUUCUCCUUUAAAAUAUUCUGUGGUAUUAUCUGAAAUUUUCACUAUCAAUAUCCUGUCUUAUUGCAUAUUCCUGAAAUUUAGGUAAUAUGUCACCAGCUGGCAAUAAGACGUCAGCACCUCUCAGCCUCGAGUAAGGUUCUUGGCAAAAUUACUUCCCAUUUUCAUUUCAUUCAGCAUGAAUGCUUUGUAUAUACUGGAUAUCAAACUAAGAAUCAAUAAUAGGGAAGAUGGACUGAUAUGGCCCUUACAUUAUCACAAAUAUAAUUUUUUUAAAAGUAGCUAAAUUUCAACAAACAAUAAAACACAAGUUGUAAAGGUAUUUUAAUGCAGCUCUUAAAAGAAGGAAAAAAACUAGAACUUGGUGAGGUCUAGAACUUCCCAGGUAGAAGGGGAAUAAAUUGUCUCUGGUUAUAUGUCCAUUCCAAGACCAGGAUAGUUUUAGGAGAUAAAGGGGUUUCCCUCCUGCAGGAGGUUGGGCUCUUUAGGUGGAAGCAUCCUGAGAUAUCACAAGCGUGGGCUCUAUCCAGUAGGUUGUGAUUUAGCAGCCCCCAAGAGCACCAUCUUGAUGGGAGGUUUAUUUCACAUCCCCUGAUGAGCAUCAUAAAGGCUGGGGUUGAACUGUUUUCUUUCUAGUCCCUGAGCUGAAAAGCUGGGGAGAAGCAAUAGGAAUCAGGAGUGUCCUCUGGGGACGGCUGAUUUGGGGAGAUGAUUUGGCCCAACUCAAGAAAGGUGAGUGAGAUCUAGGCCAUUUCUAGGGGUAGACCAGGGCUGGGCAGCCAUGGCCAUAGAAAAAUAUCAAGAAGAGUAUCAUAGCUCAGUGUGGCUCAGAGAUGGCAGCAGUGGCCCUAACCAGAGUUACUUUGUGAAUGGAUAAAUGAGUAAAAGAACACCGUCCACCUACCUGUGUCUACCCUCACAUGUGGUUUUUAGUGAGUGCAUCAGAACAGCCAGCAAACCAGCCAGGAGCAGUGGCUGAAUCAGUGAGAUAUGGGGAGGAAACGGAUUGGCAUCUGUGGGGCACAGUGCUACUGGGUAGGGUGCAAGACAUGUAGUUGGGGCAGGGGACAAGAAGAGGCUCGGGCGCUGCCCAUAAAGGACCAAGAGUACCUAGCUGGACUGAUCUAACCCUAGUAAGAAUUCUCAUAUUCUCUUAACCUCCAGUGGUAGAUGUUAAGACAACAGAAGGAAGCAACUGCUGAGCUUUUCCUAGUAAUCUCCAUGUGAUUUUUCUCUUAUACUGUAAUUGGUAAUUCACAACAAAGCUACUAUUCCUAUAAUGGGAUGAUGAGACCUCGAAGAUCAUUUAGGAAUCACCCUGAACGGCCUUUUUAUUUUAUAAAUGGGAAACUAGAGCUGAAAGAUCCUGUGAUAUGCCCAAGGUGAAUUACUUUAUGUUGUGCUAGUAGACAAAACUAGACAGACUAAAAAUCUUCCAGUUUCUUAAAUCUACCCCUCUGGCCCUUUACUCAGCUUUCCCUGAACCCAGACAUAGUAAAAAGUGAUUCCUAAUGAAUCUUCCCGAGUCUCUGGCUGGCCUAGCCUCAGGCUUCCUCUAGCAUCUCCCCAGUACUUGCUCCCCUGCCUGCACAAGCCAUCCACUUAUCCUGCUCAAGCCUUUUCAACCUCCCUGCUUUCAGAUACCCUGUUUGCUACCUUUAUCCUGGGCAGAAGAAGGGAACAAACCAGGUAUAAAGUUAUACCUAGACCUAUCUCACAACACAUAAUUUCAAUCUUAAACGUGUAUCUAAGAGAAAUGAGUCCUUUUGUCCAUCAAAAGGCAUGCACGUGGGGAGGUUCCC
rnacentral:lncRNA from 1 species